GGGGUUAUAGCUCAGUGGUAGAGCACUUGCCUAGCAUGUGUGAGGCCCUGGGUUUGAUUCCCAGAACCACA
rnacentral:tRNA from 1 species